rnacentral:rRNA from 1 species
UACGUAGGGCGCAAGCGUUAUCCGGAAUUAUUGGGCGUAAAGAGCUCGUAGGCGGUUUGUCGCGUCUGCCGUGAAAGUCUGGGGCUCAACUCCGGAUCUGCGGUGGGUACGGGCAGACUAGAGUGAUGUAGGGGAGACUGGAAUUCCUGGUGUAGCGGUGAAAUGCGCAGAUAUCAGGAGGAACACCGAUGGCGAAGGCAGGUCUCUGGGCAUUAACUGACGCUGAGGAGCGAAAGCAUGGGGAGCGAACAGG